UUGGAGUGAUGGGGAUGCAGGGGAAGGGGGAGGGGCUCUGCCUGAUGCAUUCUGGGACAAGUGCCAGCUCUUUGCUCCCUCCUUCCUUUCUCCUGCACGGGUUGCAGGAAGAACCAAAAGUUUGGGCCCAUGUGGCAUCCGCCUUAGGCUGUCCUAGCUGUCACUCUCACUAGCUUCUCUGAGCAGAAGAGCCAGGGGAGAUACUUUCAGAAGAGCUGUGGCUUUUCAGUGGACAGAACUGGAGUCUAGGACCAGCUCAGCUCUCUGCUGGCUGUGGCCCCUUGGCAAGUCACAAAACGUUUCUGUUCCUCACUUUCCACAUCUGUCACCUGGGGUGUCGUAACGUGGACUAAAUGGCAAUGGGGAUGUGAAGGACCUUGGGUGGUAUCUGGCACAUUACGGGUCCUGGAAAAAUUGUCAUGAGGGGUAAAUGAGAAAAUACAUGCCAAAUGCUUAUCACAGGGUAAUUUGAUACCUGGGUUCAAUGAAUGUUGCUACCACAGUUAUCGUUUCCGACCAGCUCUCAUCCCUGGGGUGUAACGUCUGUGCAGCAGCCUUACCCCGAGAGCUCCCUCACUCUGGCCACCAUGCUUUCCUCCUCCCAGCCUCACUGACAACCACCCACUGCCUCUCCACCCUCACUGGGCUCCCCGACCACUCUAGGCCACCCAUCACCCAGUCCUCUGGGCUUGAGUCUUGUCCAGCCGGGCCCUCAGGGUCAGGCCCGUCACCAUCCUCCCUGACCUGCUGGAACCCCUGCGUCUCGAAAAUCCAUAGACUCUGUCUGCAAACCCUGGGUCAUGUCACGUCACCAAAUGCCCCAUCAUGCCUUUUCUGUUUCCCUCCUCAGUUGGGCAGUUUUAAUCGUCUCGUGUCCAUUUUGAGCACGUUCUUCACCUGAGUUGCCCCAAACCUUCUCCAGCCUCCCAGGGUGCCUGAUUCUACCCCAGCCUUCCUUUCUGGCAGGUGACUUUGCCUUCCUCGAUGAGCACCUCUCCACAUCCCAUGAGGGAUGAGCCACAGACCGCAUGGCACAGCUGUGGGCAGUCGAGAGGGAGGGGGACGGAAAGGGUAGAGGUGGAGGAUGUGGGCAUCACGGGAGUAGAAGUGGGCCUGAGUGUAGGCCUGCAGACCCACUGACCCAGAGCCCUGAUCAGGAGAGGCAAGGCCUAUCGUGGAGCCUGGCACGGCAUAGCUGCUCAGUAAACACCCCCUUACUCAUGCCCUGUGUUGACGCGGAAUAUUUUUUAUUGUUUUCAAAACCACCUCAAGAAUGCUGGUGUCCGGGAUCGAGCUGCCCACAGCUCUGCCAUCUUUUGGACUCCAUGUCUGGGCAGGGAUUGAAGAGGGGGAGGCCUACUCAGCUCCUAUAACCCAAGAUAAUGAAAUGAAGGCACAGAGAAAUGAAAUAGAUUUCUCAGGAUCAUACAGAGAAGAAGUGGUAGAACUGGGAUUUGAACCCAUAUCAUCUGACUGCAGAGCCUGUGCUCUUAACAUCUUCACAGGACUGGAAGAGGGUGAUCGUGCAGGCCAGGAGAGGAGAAAAUAAAAUAACACUGGCAGAUGCAAGUCAUGACACCCACAGCCAUGUUGUUCUCUGAGCUCAGGCUCUGCAUGAGGGGCAUCCACCCCCUAAAGGUGAGAGGUUCCAACUGGAAGACUUGGCUUCAGCCCUGAGAGUCAAGUAUACUGAGGCUGAGUUGGUGAGAGUGGGAGGCAGAGCUCAAAGUCUGCCUCAAGGGUGUCUGAACUGUUCUUCCUUCCUGGAAGGCCCCUCAGCAUCAACAGAAAGAGAUUUCAAAGGAUCUCGAAGAAGGCAGACCCCUUGUCGCUGGUUAGUCCAGCCAAGAACUCGGCUUGGCACCAGUUUUGUGUGUAUGAAUGUCUGUUCCUAUGGCCUGGGCACAGCCAGUAUUUCUUUGUCUUUGUGCUAUUUCUGGAACCCUUGACUUUUCACUAUCAAAUAUGAGUUCCUUCGGAUUAUGUCUUCUAGAUUUUGCCUUUUAACAUACUGACCUUUGUAGAAUAUCCUGAUUUCUCUCCCUUCUCAUCUCUUUCACAAUCCAACCCACCUCCGUUUCCAGGCCUUUGGUCUUAAAAAAAAUGGACUGGCCCAAGGAGGACGUGAAGACCAUACAAAAUCUGUCCAUCCAAUAGUUCAGCAUUCCUCUCCUCCAAGUCGUUGGGUCACCAGUGCCUCCAAACCUGGUCCUGGACUGGGCCCCGUCUCUUUCCUCAGCUCCGCUGCUUCCUGCUCGUCUCAGACUCCAAUAUCCUGGGUUCUGUAAACUCUUCUGGGUUGAAAUGUUAAUGGCUAAUAUGAGUAAAUGGGUUACAUUUUCCUGGGGUCUUUUGAAGUCACCAAGGCAGGAGAGUUCCACUCAAAUUCUUCACUAGGAGGUACUUGAGACACGCACAUUUCAGUUCUGGGGAAAGUACCAUGACCAAGCUGCUGGAAGAUCUGUGCCCCUGAGAGACACACCCCACCUACUCCACGCCUCUUUUGUUAUGUCCUGACCAGUCUCAGGUUUGGGUCAGUGUCUCAGCCUCACGGCUCCUGGGGGUUCCCCACAUUGGGGCCAGUCACCACCCCCAGAGGACUUUGACUCUAAUCCAUAGUGUCUGGUUGUUCUGGGUACAUCAGCCAAGAAAGAAA